AGAAAAAGGAAGUUGGCAGUGGCUCUACGCACGAAGAACAGAGCCCCUUCGCGUGUAUCCACAGCACCUGGGCAGCUGAUGGCGUGCAGGGUAUAGGCACGGAACUGCUUAGAUCACUGUUGCCUCAGCAAGGACCUAAUGCUUCUCAGGAUUCAAGAUGCGUGUUUACGCCUCAGUAACACAAGGUGAAGAGCAUCUGUGUCCUUGUCACGGUGUCAAACUAGGGGUCUGGAGUUGGAGAGGGUGGAGAGCUACACUGUCUCCUCAAGCCGUGUCCUCAGCUCUGUGAGAUGGGAAGGACGGGCCUUCCUCCCUGAUGUCAGGCAGGCCUGAACGAAGUGAACCCACGGAAACCACACAGCAGUGCUGGAAGAAGAGGCGAGCAGGCAGGAGCUCUGGAGUGGAAGCUCGAUACUCCGAGGCCCCAGCCCUGCAGGUGCCUGACGCUUCCCAAUGGUUGAGAGCCGCUGCUCUCCAACUGAGAAAUCAGGUCCACCAUCAGCGACUGCCCCUUCCAGCAAAACCUCCUGUGCUCGGGAGAGAAGAGGGCAACGGUAUCCACUGGGCCACACCAUUUUAAACCAAGAAGAAAUAAGAUCAGCCUAUCUGCAUGCCCGGGGCAUCCUAUCUGCAGCGUUAGAUUUGUUUCCCCCUUGUUCUCCAUACAUGUCACCCUCCCAACUUAAUGACAUCUAUCCAUCCAUCCAUCCAUAAUACAUAUAUACAUAUAUUAAGUUAAGUAUAUAUGUUAUAUACACCCACACACACAUUUCAACAAGUCCAAGUUAGUGAUGUCCAUAUGUGCAUGGACGUGGCGCCAUUCAUGGAAGCAAAGAAAAUAUGCCAGUGGCCACAUCUUCAAUAAUGGAUGAUCCUCUCAUGCCUAGCAGAAGUCUACUGUCAAUAACCCUUUAGUAUCAGGUGGGUCCUAGAAAUUAUCUACCGUGUGUAUGCUGGAAUUUGGACUGGCUCGGUCUUCUACAGGUAUUGUACAGGUAACCAUGGCUGCUAUGAAUUCAUGGUUACAUUAGUCAUGCCAUCUCCAGAAAACAGCAUU